UACGAAGGGUGCAAACGUUGCUCGGAAUCAUUGGGCGUAAAGCGCACGUAGGCGGCUUGCCAAGUCGGACGUGAAAUCCCUCAGCUCAACUGAGGACGUGCAUCCGAAACUGGCGAGCUUGAGUACUGAAGAGGAUCGCGGAAUUCCCGGUGUAGAGGUGAAAUUCGUAGAUAUCGGGAGGAACACCAGUGGCGAAGGCGGCUCACUGGCCCGGUACUGACGCUGAGGUGCGAAAGCGUGGGGAGCAAACAGG
rnacentral:rRNA from 1 species